GAUGAACGCUGGCGGCGUGCCUAAUACAUGCAAGUCGAGCGAACGGACGAGAAGCUUGCUUCUCUGAUGUUAGCGGCGGACGGGUGAGUAACACGUGGAUAACCUACCUAUAAGACUGGGAUAACUUCGGGAAACCGGAGCUAAUACCGGAUAAUAUUUUGAACCGCAUGGUUCAAAAGUGAAAGACGGUCUUGCUGUCACUUAUAGAUGGAUCCGCGCUGCAUUAGCUAGUUGGUAAGGUAACGGCUUACCAAGGCAACGAUGCAUAGCCGACCUGAGAGGGUGAUCGGCCACACUGGAACUGAGACACGGUCCAGACUCCUACGGGAGGCAGCAGUAGGGAAUCUUCCGCAAUGGGCGAAAGCCUGGCGGAGCAACGCCGCGUGAGUGAUGAAGGUCUUCGGAUCGUAAAACUCUGUUAUUAGGGAAGAACAUAUGUGUAAGUAACUGUGCACAUCUUGACGGUACCUAAUCAGAAAGCCACGGCUAACUACGUGCCAGCAGCCGCGGUAAUACGUAGGUGGCAAGCGUUAUCCGGAAUUAUUGGGCGUAAAGCGCGCGUAGGCGGUUUUUUAAGUCUGAUGUGAAAGCCCACGGCUCAACCGUGGAGGGUCAUUAGAAACUGGAAAACUUGAGUGCAGAAGAGGAAAGUGGAAUUCCAUGUGUAGCGGUGAAAUGCGCAGAGAUAUGGAGGAACACCAGUGGCGAAGGCGACUUUCUGGUCUGUAACUGACGCUGAUGUGCGAAAGCGUGGGGAUCAAACAGGAUUAGAUACCCUGGUAGUCCACGCCGUAAACGAUGAGUGCUAAGUGUUAGGGGGUUUCCGCCCCUUAGUGCUGCAGCUAACGCAUUAAGCACUCCGCCUGGGGAGUACGACCGCAAGGUUGAAACUCAAAGGAAUUGACGGGGACCCGCACAAGCGGUGGAGCAUGUGGUUUAAUUCGAAGCAACGCGAAGAACCUUACCAAAUCUUGACAUCCUUUGACAACUCUAGAGAUAGAGCUUUCCCCUUCGGGGGACAAAGUGGCAGGUGGUGCAUGGUUGUCGUCAGCUCGUGUCGUGAGAUGUUGGGUUAAGUCCCGCAACGAGCGCAACCCUUAAGCUUAGUUGCCAUCAUUAAGUUGGGCACUCUAAGUUGACUGCCGGUGACAAACCGGAGGAAGGUGGGGAUGACGUCAAAUCAUCAUGCCCCUUAUGAUUUGGGCUACACACGUGCUACAAUGGACAAUACAAAGGGCAGCGAAACCGCGAGGUCAAGCAAAUCCCAUAAAGUUGUUCUCAGUUCGGAUUGUAGUCUGCAACUCGACUACAUGAAGCUGGAAUCGCUAGUAAUCGUAGAUCAGCAUGCUACGGUGAAUACGUUCCCGGGUCU
rnacentral:rRNA from 1 species